ensembl:lncRNA
GUGAGGUGAGGCCACAGCGUGGCUCUUUGCUUGCUGCAGUCACAGCGUCUGCUGUGCCAUGCGCAGCGCUGUAUUCUGAUCUCUCUUACGUCUAGACAGAUAUUCAUAAUGAAAUAGAUGUCUGGAUAAUGAAGUAGACUUUCACAGUCCUAAUGGGAUUGAAGCCUGCAAAGGAUGGAAAAAGAGCAACUUGCACUACACCCUCCAAGGCCCCUGGAUUUCACAGUAGGUUUUUUGGAAUACUAGAUCGGAUUGGAAGAUACUUACAUGAUUGCCAACAGAGGGGGAAAUAUACAUCAUGGUAUAGAUGAGAACCGUGGCAGAAUGAAGUGCUGACUUCAGGUCAUCUCUGACUGAACAGAUGGUCUAGCUGCCAUAAUGCCCUAGCUCUGUGGCUAAACCAGAAGGACUUCUCUAGACUAGGAGAAGAAGGUAUGGAUGUAUCGUUGGGCUCAGAGAGAGAUCCUUGACAAAGGUAGGUACUGCAAGGCUCACUCAGCAAAUUGCCAGAGAGAGACAGGAAUUGCUAAGAGCCUAGACAAAAAGACUGGGAGAGAUAGGGAGAGACAUCUUCUGGAAGCAGCAAAUAUUUGUGUUUGUGGAGCAGGAGAUUCUGCAGAAGUGAAGGGAGAGGACCUAUUCUCUUAUUCCUUUUUGUUGGUUAAACUGGGAAGUGAGAACACUGUCAUGUUCUCUGUAGUAUGUUUUGUGGCUGCCUCCUCGAGCCUGUAUCCACAUAAUCCAAAUGCAAGUGUGAACUGUGUGAAACUUGCCUCUGUAGUGAGCCUUCACAUUUUUGUAUUGAUAGCAUUUUACUGGAAAGGUGCAGUUAUAGAUGCUGUUAUGUUAACCAAAUGCAAAAAUAAUGUUUAACCUAUGGUUAGUUUUUGCAUAUAAAUAAAUGUUGUACAAUAUAUUCUAUUUAAUAAGCAAGAUUCUGCUAUCUAUAAGAUGAUGGUCUUCUCUUGGUAGGUUCUUAAAGGAUGUUUUUGUCAUUAUCAAAAAUGUUAGUCUUUCUCUGUGCCGUGCACUGGGAGGCAGCAAAAGGUGAACAGCACAGAAAAUGAACACAGUGUUCUGAAAGGUAAGGAAGGGAAAACAGUCAUCUAAUAUACUACCCUUCCAUCAGUUUGUUACCUCUGAAUUUCCCGAAUCUUAGUCUAUGGAGUUUCCUCACAUUAUUCUGGCUGUAAAUUAUUUAUAUACAUUUCCCCAUCUUUUAUUGCACUCAGUUUCUCAGCUUCCUGUGGGACAUCACUAGCUUCCAGCAAUGUGCUGAGGCACCACCUCUAGAAUCUGCCAGAAAGGAGAGGAGAUGGAGCUAACAAAGUGAGACUCUGGGAUUUGUGCUAGAAUGGAUCGUCAUAGAUGAAUAACUAACAGCAUUUUCUCUCAUUUCUGAAAAAGCUCUGUAGUUUUGUUGGCAUAAUUCAUUAACCAGCAUUUUUGCACUUCAUUAUUAAAGGUAAAUCUUUCUCCUGUUUUCAUCAAUCUCAAUGAAGAAAUCUGCCAUUCAUUCCCGUUAGAAGGCUGUUUCUCAGAGCAUCUCUGCUGGUAUUUUAUUCCAUUCAGUUUAAAAUACCCCGGAGAAGGAAUAUUUCUCUGAAGGGAUGUGGGAGUGAGGAUACAGCCCAGGCCAUCCUGUGGUCAGAUAUUAAUGAAGAUAGCUCUAUUUUCUUUGCAUCCUAUUAUCGCUGGGUCUGUACAGCUCUUAAUUCUUCUUCCUACUCUGUGUUUCACCUUUCAGACGACUACAGACAUGUAAUUACGCCAAACUUUGGCCAAAAUCAGGUUGUACAAUAUAUUUGUCAAUGAGUAGAGCCAAGUGAACCUCCAUAGGAACUGUAGCAUGCCCAAAUGCUGCAUGGAUCCCACGGUUCUCUGUGGUAUGCUUUGGCAGUGGUAAGUACAAGCAAGGUUUUUCCGUUCCCCUGCCUGUGUACCACUGAAAACUCCCAUUCAAUAGCUCUACAUGUUUCUCAUAGUGCUAUUUGUAUUACUGUUUUUCACUUUUCUGCAACCACAAUGAAAAGCGUUCUCAUAAUUUACUGUAUAAAAUCCAUUUAUGGUGGCAAAAAGUCUGCUUGGGUUCCACAGUUUCUGGAGAUCUCCAUUUUUAAAGUGAGCUAACUAAUGCUAAAUGCUGUCUGAUGACUAAGAAGAUAUAAAAUGUCAUUGAUGGGACUGGAAAGUCUUCUACAGUUCUUAGAACAGUCAAGAUUUAGUUCCUCCUCUGCAAGACAUAUAUCUAGAGGCAGACAGAGAUGAGUAAUCACAUGGUAGUGCUCACGAAUGGCUAUCAAAUGGAAAUUGUUCUUCUUGUGGACUUCUUCAAGCCCACAGCUGCAUUCUUCACUGCUGUGGGACAUCUGAAGUCAAGUGUCGAAUUUGCUGUGGCUGACUUGCAAUCAGACUUACUGACUAGGGUAGGCUGACUUUCAGAAAGUGUAAAAGACAGAACAGCAACUGUGGAAAUAAAAAGAAUGUUUUUUCAUUGCUGGCAGCUUCUUUGCUCUGACCUUUUGACAUCAUUCCAAGGUCAGUUAAAUGCUUCAGAGGAACUGGAGUGAUUAUAAAUCAACUUCGUCAUCAUCCAUAAGGUGGAUGGAGAACAUUUCAUAAAAGUGAAAAAAGGUUUCCAGGGAGAUCUUCUUGGUGAGUGACUUGUCUGAUUGUCAGUUCAUGGACCUUUUCAUGGGAUAAUUUACUGGUUUGUUCAAGUGUUCUUGCACAGACUCAGUGCCCCAGGAUGUUCCUCUUUUGGCACAGUGGUGUCAUGUCAGCCAUGAAGGCGCUCAGCUGGAGUCAUCCUCCUUUGGUUACCCAUCCUCUGGCCCAGUGCAUCAUUUGUUAAGUACUUUUCUCACUCCAGAUUAGAGAAGUCAUUAUAAGGGGAAAGUACUUUUUUACUGUGGUUGAUAAGGGAAGGAAAAAGCAACAAAAACAGAUGAGCCCUAAAUGAAGAUGAUCGUGUUGACUAUAUGAACUAUCUUUGAAGAUUUCUAAACAAUCAGAAACUUGAGUUUGUUUUCAGCAUAUGCUCCCAGGGGAAGGUCAUCUGAUUCAUAUCCGUCAAAUGUUGAAGGGAUGAGUCACAGUCAAACAAAUCACACUUUUCUAACUUGUCUUUACACAUACGGGAAGGAAUAAUCUCUCUUCAUUUAAAAAGAAUUUUCUUUUUUUUCUUGGUAGACAACACUCAAUAACUUAGCCCCAUGUUAUCUGUUUUCCUUGAAUUAUGAAUAUUUAUUCCCCUCCAUAUCCAUAAAUAAUACAUAAUCUACAUAAUCCUCAUUUUUUUUCUCUUAUGACCUUUAUACACAUCCUAUACAUUAAAUUAAACUCCCUCAUAGCUAUGAAAAGCUCUGAUUUCCAAUUGAAACUUAAUUCAACACCUACAAAGAAACUUGUCUUCAAAUAACUAAUACUAGAUGAUAUAUUCCUUACCAGCAGGCAGCUAACACUGAACAUGAGCAGAAAUAUGCUACUAAAAAAAAAUCUGUUUAUGUCACAGAGUUAAGAUGUGAUAAAAUGUGUAUGUUCCUGUUCCCUCUCUUACUAAUCCCAUUAAUAUAGAGGUGUGAAUAGUGCCCACUGUGUGCAAUACCCCUGACAGGAGACAGUGCAGAUGCAGCACCUACCUUUUUGCUCCAGAAAGCACUCAAAAGAAGACACGAUUGCCCUUUGGCACCUUCAGAGGCUGUUCCAGGAUGCAUCAUCCCCUAGGUGAGUUCUCACUUGGUAUUUACAUUUACUUUGCUUUGUAAGUUCUAGUGGUCAAAUACAUUUCAAGAAUGGCAUUUACUAUAUAUAUUUUGAGGCAUUAUUGUGCAUUGCAGCAUACAAGGGUGAUCAUUCCUGCUGCUUGGGCAGAAGAGGUGGUUUUCCAUUGCACUGUGCCCAGCAAAACAAAUACUACUGCUCAGCCAAAUUCCAUCCUGGAGCAGUUUAGUUUGCAGCCACCUUGGGGUAACUGUUUGAGGGUGGAGGUGCAGGGUGGCUGCUGGGCACUGAUGGCUUGAGUCAGGUGAAAAACUAUAAUAAAAAAAAAAGCUUACAGAAAGGUAUUCUCUGUACCGUGAUCUGAAUGUACAAUAAGUGCAUCUGCAAGAGGUGUUCUGAAAAUGAAAUUAACAUCUUUUUUCUUUUUUUUUUUUUUUGUAGGAAACUGAAAACUUUCUUUUCCUACUCUUCUAAUGUAUACUAAAUUGCCUAAGGAAUCAAUUGGAAGGAGACAACUGUUUUAACAAUAAUCAUCUCUUACCAUUUAAAAAAUACAUGAAUUCAGUUUCACCCCCGUGCACCCCAAACAGUGCUCAGGGAGGAUCUUAGCUACUACACAUUAAGAAUCUGGACUGCUGUCUGAAACCUAAACUAUUCUGAGUUUGAUAAAUAUCCCCAUUUUAGAGAAAAAAAGUAUCCUGAUGUACAAAGGAUGAAUCCAGGACAAUUAAUCAUAGGACAUAUCUGGGGCCACAGCCAGAUCUUCUGACUCACAGUGCUUCCUUUUAGUCGUAGAAAAAAAAAACUUAUUUAUUUUUCAUAAUUACAUCACAUAAUUAUUUAUAAAAAGUCAUACAAAAGAACAGUUAAAAAGUUGAUACAAACUUUCUCAAGGAGUUUUUUUCUUAGUUUCAUUGCCAUGCAUGUUUUUUAAAAAUUAAUAUCAUGCAUUUGUGUAGUAAACAGCUGUGCAUCUUUUUAACAUUUUUUGUUUUGGUAUCUGAAUGAAAUAUUUCUACAUUAUUUAAAAACCUUUGAAUUUUAUUGUAUUGGAAAUACUGUUUUUUCAUAUUUUCUUCUCAGUUCUAAGCUUCCGUGUCUCUAGAAAACUGGAUGACCCUAGAGAGGAAUUCCAAACUCUUCCCAACUCCUCCAAUUUUGAAAGGCCGUUUUCCAAGACAAAAAUUUGUUGAAAAGCGAUGUGUUUAAGAUAGGGGUGUAACUUCUAAUAAUAUGAAAAUACAGAAGAAAAAAAAGUGCUUGAAUAUGGAUUUGACCAUGGGACAUUGGAAAUGCAAAAGAAUUUUAGACUUUUUAAUGCAAAUAAGCAAGUUGCAUCAUUCCAAGUUCAUUCAGAGGCAUAUGUUGAAACAACACAAAGCAAUGUAAAUAAGCAGUCCAAAUCACUUGUCAGACGGCUUUACAACAAUGGAUGACUUUCCUUAGUGCCUUAGUGCUGCUCUAUCUGCAAGGAAUCUUCCUGGAGCACCUCUUGAGAGCUGCCACAAUAUCAAGUUAAUUCAUGUUGAUGGCCACUGCCUAUUAGUCACUACUUUGAGAAGGAACAACAGCGACAGGAUACUUGAAAAGAAAUACUGCAGCUGAUGCUUUGCAUUAUGAAAAAUGCCGACAUCUGAUCCAUUUUGAUAUCCUUGAAUAUCUGAUCUUUGGAAAAAUUACAUGUGGAGUUCAGGACAUUGGGCAUUUGCUCCCUGAGCGAUGGAGUCCAGAACCUGUUUAAGGGUCCCAGCAGCCCACCUCUAUUUCAUAGUAGACAACCCCUUGAGUGACAAAAACCUUUUAAAGGGGAAAAAUAACAUGAACAACUCCUUCUAACAUGGUUGGAAUUGAGACCACCUAAGUUUUUGCUCUAAGCUGUUCCUGUACAAUCUGUUUCCCAGGUAAUCUUCAUGUUUAUUUAAGAGAAAGAGAUCAUCCCGCUCUUUCACAGAAGCUCUCUCUUAGCCUUUUGAGGAUGCUCCAGGCUAAUGUAUGGAGCCUAGAGGGUGUAAUUCAUAGUUUGAAACCUAUUAUACUCAUGCCUUAUCUUCUAGUGAUUGCUCUGAGCAUCAAGAAUUGUAAGAAAGGAAGGAAGGGCCCCCCAUCUCCUUCUCAGCUUGUGCUGCUCAGCUCCACACAGAAGAGCGUAUUUCUGCAGAAAGGCAGAAGCAGAGCUGUGAGUCACAAAUGAGUCAAAAGGACAAAAGCUUAGUGGGCAAAGACUGGCAUUUUUAUUAUAUAAAAUCAGACUUUUGAGAACUGUCUUUUUAAGCUUAGCAUCCUCCACAAUUCUUAAGUGGGAUUAAGAUGUCCAAAACAAGAUCUCUUCUUCUUUUAAUUACUAUCUACUGACAUUAUUACAGAGUUUACUAUUUGUGUAUGAGUUAAGCACAAGGUGAGGAAUUAUCCUAAGCAACAAUUUUUCCUUGCUUACCAAAGCUUGCAAUGGAGAGCAGAUUGCCUAUCCCUGUAACGGAUGUACAUGUGUAAGAGAUUUUUAAAUGGCAAAUAACUAGCAGAGCCUUUAUUAUUAAUAUCAAAACAUCAUUUUUUCUUGUACUCUUUUUUCCAGAUGAGUUUUCUGUUUGAAUUCAUUGAAACUUUUUCAUGUAGUUUAUUAGAACCAGUAUAUUGUAUUAAUUUCCCUAAAAAUUCUUCACUUACAAAGCAGCUGAAUAAAUUUUAUAGUGGAAUAAGGUGUGAAGAUGAAUUACUGCCCAUGCAUGUGAACACCACUGAUCAGGAGGUGACACUUUACUGUAGUAGCUCAAUAGAGAGAUAUCAAGGAACAUAUAAGGGUUAAUUUAGCAAGAUCCCCUGAAACAGUGUAGAAAAAAAAUGUUUCAGUAGGUAAAAAUUCAGAAUGCUGUCUUUAUACAUUCAACAGUCUGCUAAAUUAAAAAUAGUUAAAACUCAUUUUUGUGCCACGAUUACACUAAAAUCUGAGAAGACCAGUAAGGGAGGAAAGUAUCUUCCAGGAGAUCAGAGCACUUUCAUGGAAUUUUGGACUUCAGAGAUUCUGCAGGUUUCAAAUAUAAAUAUAUGCAGUUUUAAAAUGUUAGAAACAAGUGAGUCAUCCUUAUCUCUCAGGGGAGUAGUUACUUAGGUUGGUAGCAUGGGAGGGUUAAGGGAAGGAAAAGAGGAAGACAGUUGUAAUAAUCUUGAGUAAUAGUAGACAAACCUGUCCCUGUUCCUUUUCUCUCUCUCCCAUCCUCUCUCGAUUAGCACAAGAGCUAUAGAAAUGUCAUUUCAACAUGUUACAUCCAUUCAUAUGAUCAAAAUGAAUUUAUUUUAGAACCCAAUUUUUGCAUAAAUGCUUAUAUGUGUGGUCAGAGAUAUAGAAGUCAGCAAAGAGCAUCACAUUAUUUAAGUAAGAUACUUUCAGCUAAGUAAGCUGAGCUGGUCAUGCAUGACAUUGAGUGCUGCUGAGAAGGUCCUCAGCAAACUCUCUUGCUCCUUUCCUCCCUACAGACGUGCAAAAAGUUCUCCGUACUUUAUACAUUCAUGUUGGUAAGGAUGUCUUCAAGCCACUGUAAACUAAGCAGCAAUGACAUUAGAUUCUAAUUAAGAUCUUUUGGCUUUCACAUUGAUAAUGAGCUGUAGGCACUUCUUUGUUGCUCUUGUUAUUUUUGUAAAGCUGUUUGGGAGCUCCCUUAGAGAAUCUCCCCCAAGAAAAAAUAUUGUUUUGCUUCCACUCUCUGCACAUCAGUUGUCAAAUUCAAAGAUGCCUGCCAACACAGCUCAGCCUUUUGUAGUCAGAAAUUCAUUUUCAAACAAUGCUUUCCAAUUCCUAGGUAAUCUGGUGUGUGUUAUUUAAACAUCUAAUACAUGUAAUUUCACAAGGAUCAACAUAGCCAAGUACACAGAAGCCUAGAACUGGCAUGUCAAACAAAACAUUUUCUGUUAGAAGUGAAUAUGAUUUCACUGUGAUUGAAUAAUCAGUGUUUUGAAUGUUAGUGUCUGAAGUUUUACAAUGUAUUUCAAAGCCUAAUUUAAAAAGCACAUACUAACACUUCCCGAUUAUGUCUGUAGAGCAGCUGUUUUGUGUGAUUUAAUGGUGAGUGUAAAAACCUAGCUCCGUUUAAGCCAGCUGCACGAAUCUCUGGAGUUUCUUUGGUUUGGCAGUUUCCCACCUUCUCCUUCAGGAUACAACCUUCUCCUUCACAAUGGGACUUUCAUCGCCAUCAAUUCCAAUCUCUAAUUAUGUUUCAAUCUUGCAAUGACGUGCCUAUAAAGAGUCUCUUGACAUUUUUUUCUUGGUUAACUUGGGCCAAGAUCACAUGGACAUGAUGUGGCCUGCUGAUUCUCAUGAUUUCAGUAAGAUCCAGCUGUCUUUCAGGAAAACCUCCUUCAAAAGAUCAUGACAGAGCUGGCUGGUGAACUGGUCAUCUUCUUUUACAGUAGCUGGUAAGUCAAAACAAGAUCACAGAGGCUAUGUCUUCAUUCAUUACUGAUGUUGGAGCUUAAAUUUGCAACUGCCUGCCCUUGAGUCAGAUGUUUUGUUUUGGAAGGUGUAGGUGUUUUGAUACAAGGCUAAUGAGAGUGAAUCCUUAAUCAUUAGACAACACUCUCCUGUGAGGCAAAAGUCUCACUCAGAAAUGAUAAAUCUUUGAACAGGCUGUUGCCCUACACUCUGAUGAAUUUACUCUGUAAAGUUUUGUUGUGCGAUAUGCUAUAAGAACCAUUUUCUACCUAAAUCUUUCCUGUGCCUGACCCCAGCCUUCCCUUUUUCAAGACAUCAAAAGGAGGCUGGAGCUUUACCUUUCUCUGCUAGGGAGGGGCAGACAUAUGGGGCACAAAAAGGGACAAGACUCCUCUAAUUAUCCACAGUAUCAAUAGUUUAUCUUCUCUGCAUUUCACCUACUACACUGCAAAAGUGUCAUUCUCUCACUAAGCAGUGUGCAGUGCCUAUGUUAGUCUUAUUUCAGACAGCAGGGCUUCCCAGGUGGUGUGCAGCAGCAGGAUUUGGAGCUGAGUCUAUGGUUAUUAUAGAUGGAUUAUGCACUUUGGGCUAGUGUGAUGAAAAUUCGUAAGAAUUUAGGAGAUUCUAUUACACAAAGUACUUCUGUUCCAUUUAAAAUAUAAAUAUAUAUAUAGUUACUAUGUGUGCUGACAAUGGUUACUGUCAAAAGUAAGGCUCUCUCCAACAGGAAUAAGACCAAUUUUGAGGGAAAGAAGAAGUGAAAUGACCUGUGCAGUGAGAAGGCUGGUUCUAGACUAGAUGAAAGAAUCUUUCCAGCCCUUUCCUCAGCUGUAUGACAAUUUAAUAAACACCUGCUUAACACUGCAAUUCACCCAAUCAAGUUUCAAGACCUUGGACACCUGUGCAACACAUUGAUGUUGAUAAUAAUAUCUGGAGAUUGAUUUCAUUAGCACAAAAGCCUACAAAUCCAAGUUGAUAGGUCUUGUACUCUGCACAGAACCCCUGGCUGGAUUGUACCAAGGCUGGUAUCCCAAUGUCACAAGCGGGGCUGCUGUCUGGCCCUGCUCCCCCCAGGCAGGUCAAGGCAGUACUGGCAGAUAGGCCAUCCCUGUGAGAUUCUCUUGCUGCUAAAAUGGCCCUCAUUUUCAUUAUCUGUGUUACAGUAGCACCUAGAGGUGCUUUUUAUUGGACAUAAAAAGACCCUGUUAUUCUACCUCAUGUGUCCUAUUGCUGAGCUAUAAUACAACACAAUCUCUUGGGCAUGAAAAUCUUUUUUUAAUUAAGCAAUUAGAAUACUGCAUUAUUUGAGGAUCAUUCAGCUUCUUCUAAUCCUUAUUUGAUUUAGCUUUAUUUCACUAAUGUACAUUUUGCUGCUUGUUGUUAUCUUUCUCUUUGAAUCUGCUUAGAAAUCCAUUUGCUCUGGGUAAUUGUUCCUUCACAAGGCACUUUUCAGUAAUGUUCAGCACAAUGAUUUCAUGUUAAAAGAUGAUGUUAAAAUAAAGUGGCUGUCAUGAUAAAGUCUGUUUCAAAAAAAGAAUCAAAAUCUACCAUUUGUUCCUGUUUCCAAUUAUCCUCCAUUACAGGUAAUGAAAUAAUGUGAGUAAAAGUUACAAGUGUCAUACUUAAAGGGAACUUGGACACUCAUCAAUAAUAUCAGAGAUGACAAAACUAAUCUUGUUUAGUUACAUAUACUGCUGCAGUCAGAACGUCUGAUUACAAGAGAGAAAGGAAGCAUCAGUAUUAUUACUGAAGUCUGAAAGUCAUUUUAUUCCCAAAUUAGCAGCAUUGUUGAUACAGCUGAAUAUAUUGAAUGUACAUUUCCUUUAUCAAAAUAAUUUCUGUGCAAUAAACAGAAAGAAUUUG